rnacentral:ncRNA from 1 species
UAUAAGUAUAUAAAGAAACUAUUAUGGAAUUUAAGCUAUGUAUUAAAGAGAAUUAUUUAUAUAUAUAGGACAUUUAUCCUAUAAUUAUAUGAACUCUAAGAGAAAUUUUAUAAUAAACGAAGUGAAUUGAAAUAUCUUAGUAACUUUAGGAAAAUAAAUCAAAAGAGAUUCUAUGAAUAGCGUGAGCGAAAGUAGAGAAGCCUAAUAAGUAAAACGGUUUAAAACUAUUUAAACAUUAUGGGGAACCUUCCUCAAAGGCUAAAUAUAAUACAUAAGCGAUAGUGAAAAGUACCAUGAGGGAAAUAAAAUAAAAAUAGUAGUUUUAUAAGCAGUUCGAAAUAAAGAACGUACCUUUUGCAUAAUGGGUCACCAAGUUAACGUUAGAUGCGAGAUAACACGUAGUUAAACCGAACGUUAAAAUAACGAUAUAGUGUCUAAAGUUAGACCCGAAGCCUGGUGAUUUUACCAUAGUCAGGAUUAUAAAAGUCCGAACCGGUGAUUGUAGCAAAAAUCUCGGAAGAACUGUGGUAGGUGUAGUGAAAGACAACACUGACUAGGAUAGCUGGUUUUCUGCGAAACCUAUAAUAGUAGGCAGUUUAAGUAAAUAUCUUAGCAGGUACAGAAUUUAAUCUCAGACAAGACAUUUCAAAUGUUUUAUUUUGUACAAAUUGGGGGAUCAUGAAGAUUUUAUCAGUGAGUAUGUAGACUCGGAAUGGCAAAGAUAUAUCUUAAACUAUCAGACAUAGAAUGAUAAGGUUGUAUGUCGAAAGGGAAACAGCCCAGAACAAGAGUUAAGGUUCCUAAAUUAUUUGUUAAGUGAAAAUAAGAAAGUUUUUAUUUAAGUCGACAAGGAGAUAGGCUUAGAAGCAGCCAUAAUUUUAUGACCUCGUAACAGAGCGCUUGUUAAAUUA